rnacentral:rRNA from 1 species
GAUGAACGCUAGCGGCGUGCCUAAUACAUGCAAGUCGAGCGAAUGGAUUAAGAGCUUGCUCUUAUGAAGUUAGCGGCGGACGGGUGAGUAACACGUGGGUAACCUGCCCAUAAGACUGGGGUAACUCCGGGAAACCGGGGCUAAUACCGGAUAACAUUUUGAACCGCAUGGUUCGAAAUUGAAAGGCGGCUUCGGCUGUCACUUAUGGAUGGAUCUGCGUCGCAUUAGCUAGUUGGUGAGGUAACGGCUCACCAAGGCAACGAUGCGUGGCCGACCUGAGAGGGUGAUCGGCCACACUGGGACUGAGACACGGCCCAGACUCCUACGGGAGGCAGCAGUAGGGAAUCUUCCGCAAUGGACGAAAGUCUGACGGAGCAACGCCGCGUGAGUGAUGAAGGCUUUCGGGUCGUAAAACUCUGUUGUUAGGGAAGAACAAGUGCUAGUUGAAUAAGCUGGCACCUUGACGGUACCUAACCAGAAAGCCACGGCUAACUACGUGCCAGCCGCCGCCGUAA